rnacentral:rRNA from 1 species
GAUGAACGCUGGCGGCGUGCCUAAUACAUGCAAGUCGAGCGAACGGACGAGAAGCUUGCUUCUCUGAUGUUAGCGGCGGACGGGUGAGUAACACGUGGAUAACCUACCUAUAAGACUGGGAUAACUUCGGGAAACCGUAGCUAAUACCGGAUAAUAUUUUGAACCGCAUGGUUCAAAAGUGAAAGACGGUCUUGCUGUCACUUAUAGAUGGAUCCGCGCUGCAUUAGCUAGUUGGUAAGGUAACGGCUUACCAAGGCAACGAUGCAUAGCCGACCUGAGAGGGGGAUUCGGCACAACGGAAACGGGAACCGGGCCCGAACCCCAAGGGAGGGCAGCGUGGGGAAUUUUUCCCAAUUGGGGAAAGCCUGAAGGAGCCAAGCCGGGUGAGGGAAGAAGGUUCUUGGAGUCGAAAACCUCUUUUUUUGGGAAAAAAAAAAUUGGAAAAAAACUGUGCAGUUUUGGGGGUACCAAAACAAAAAGGCCCGGGCAAAUUCGUG